UGAAUCACAGGUUCCCAUAGGAUCACCAAAGUUAAGUAACAUCGAGCGUGGUUACUACCUUGAUGAGUGACCACUUGGGAGUACCAGGUGCUGCAAG